rnacentral:rRNA from 1 species
AGCUCCAAAAGUGUAUAUUUAAGUUGCUGCGGUUAAAAAGCUCGUAGUUGGAUUUUGGGCGCAGGCGGCCGGUCCGUCGCAAGGCGUGCACUGGCCGACCUGGCCUUACCUUCGGUUCCCCGCCGGUGCUCUUGACUGAGUGUCGGCGGCGGCCGGAACGUUUACUUUGAAAAAAUUAGAGUGUUCAAAGCAGGCGGCUCGCCUGAAUAAUGGUGCAUGGAAUAAUGGAAUAGGACCUCGGUUCUAUUUUGUUGGUUUUCGGAGCGCGAGGUAAUGAUUAAGAGGGACAGACGGGGGCAUUCGUACUGUGCCGCUAGAGGUGAAAUUCUUGGAUCGGCGCAAGACGAACGACUGCGAAAGCAUUUGCCAAGAAUGUUUUCUUUAAUCAAGAACGAAAGUA